rnacentral:rRNA from 1 species
GAUGAACGCUGGCGGCGUGCCUAAUACAUGCAAGUCGAGCGAACAGACGAGGAGCUUGCUCCUUCGACGUUAGCGGCGGACGGGUGAGUAACACGUAGGUAACCUACCUAUAAUACUGGUAUAACUUCGGGAAACCGGAUCUAAUCCCGGAUAAUAUUUCGAACCGCAUGGUUCGAUAGUGAAAGAUGGCUUUGCUAUCACUUAUAGAUGGACCUGCGCCGUAUGAGCUGGUUGGUAAGGUAACGGCUUACCAAGGGAACGAUACGUAGCCGACGUGCGAGCGGGAUAGGCCACACUGGAACUGAGACAGGGUCAAGACUCCUACGGGAGGCAGCAGUAGGGAAUCUGACGCAAUGGGCGAAAACCUGACGGAGCAACGCCGAGUGAGUGAUGAAGGUCUUCGGAUCGUAAAACCCUGUUAUUAGGGAAGAACAAACGUGUAAGUAACUGUGCACGUCUUGACGGUACCUAAUCAGAAAGCCACGGCUAACUACGUG